rnacentral:rRNA from 1 species
AGGAUAGAAGCCUACCAUGGUGGUAACGGGUAACGGGGUGUUAGGGCACGACACCGGAGAGGGAGCCUGAGAAACGGCUACCACAUCCAAGGAUGGCAGCAGGCGCGCAAAUUACCCAAUCCCGACACGGGGAGGUAGUGACAAUAAAUAACAAUACGGGGUUCUUUCGGAUCUCGUAAUUGGAAUGAGUACAAUUUAAAUCUCUUAACGAGGAACAAUUGGAGGGCAAGUCUGGUGCCAGCAGCCGCGGUAAUUCCAGCUCCAAUAGCGUAUAUUAAAGUUGUUGCAGUUAAAAAGCUCGUAGUUGAAUUUCGGGGUUAGUAGGUUGGUCAUGCCUCUGGUAUGUACUGAUCUCACUGAUUCCUCCUUCCUGAUGAACCGUAAUGCCAUUAAUUUGGUGUUGCGGGGAAUUUGGACUGUUACUUUGAAAAAAUUAGAGUGUUUAAAGCAAGCUAACGCUUGAAUACAUUAGCAUGGAAUAAUGAAAUAGGACGUUCGAUCCUAUUUUGUUGGUUUCUAGGAUUGACGUAAUGAUUAAUAGGGAUAGUUGGGGGCAUUAGUAUUCAAUUGUCAGAGGUGAAAUUCUUGGAUUUAUUGAAGACUAACUACUGCGAAAGCAUUUGCCAAGGAUGUUUUCAUUAAUCAAGAACGAAAGUUAGGGGAUCGAAGACGAUCAGAUACCGUCGUAGUCUUAACCAUAAACUAUGCCGACUAGGGAUCGGAUGAUGU